GCAGCACCAGGCAGGAGGAUGAAGAUUCUAUUGGGCGACAGGAACCAGACAGGCACUUAUUCUACCUUUGGGGCUGGAUGGUGAGUGUGCCCUUGGGAGCAGGUGCAGUAGAGGACUUCUUCACCGUCUACAGGAAAAAAUCCCAACAUCCUUGCAUCAAAGAGAAGAUCUCCAACCUACCUUUUCUGCUUUCUCCCCCUACCACCCCUUGGAGGAUGGCCCAUUGUUGACCAAGUCCUGGAGCCAGGAAUGUGGAGAAGAAAGAAUCGCAGGCAAGUAUAUAAACAGAUGUAUUCAUUUGCUGGGAGUCAAGCGGAGACCAAAGUGUCAGACCUCAGCCACCCUCAUCUCUGAGACAUGGAGGACAGAGCUCAUUCACAAUCCCUCUCUUGUCCCUGCUGUAAGCCCCUUCCUGACUGGUGCGGAAAGGUGACCCAAAGGUGUUGGGAGGUGUUGUCUCUCUCUUUUCCUGCUCGUUCCUGGCCUUAGGACAGAGGGCAAGGGUUCAACUCCCCAAAACUGCUCCAAGGCUUGUCUUUGGUUGUCAACUAACCCUCUGCAAAUUUCCCUAUACCCCUUUCACCUCACUCUGAAGCAGGUCAGGCUCAACACUGCGUUCGAGUUUCCCAGCUAGCAGCAUACCCUUCUUCUCUGGUUAUCUGUCUUAGGUCUGAAAUACCUCUGCAGCCAAAAGGAAGCCACUAGUCUGAGGUUCGUAUCUCUCUUCUCCACUCCCCACACCCCAAACUCUCUAGCCAUCAGAAUAGAAGAAUGCCCUUCUUUUCGCAUAACCAAUAAGUUUAACAGUCUGUUCUAUGAACCAGGCCCAGGUUAGUUACAUUCAAGGCCACUCCUUUCAGCUCCUCUUCCCCAUUUCAGAGAGGAGGAUGAUCCAAGGCAUUAUGCAGCUCAGGCUAGAGCUGGGGUGGGGUGGGGUGGGGUGGGGUGGGGGUGAGGGUUUGGGCAGUUAGGGACUGAAGAGUCUGUAUUCUCUCAGAACUCGUAGUACCUGCCACUUGGGCUCAGGCGUCCCCCAGGGGAUCCUGGGGUAGCCCUCGGCUCUCAGACAGCUUGGAGACAAAAAGCAUUUAUCACAUGAGAUGGAGCCAGAUGGUGGCUAUUAUUAACCUGUUAUUAACCGGGCAGUUAUAUUACAUCAUUUAUUUUGAGGUUCUACAGAGGAAACCAAAUGCUACUACAUAUUUAGCCUGGUCUAAAGUGACUCACCAGCUUGUGAGCUGUGGAGCACCAUGGACAUAGAGAGACACCAAUCCACAAGUAUCUUCCAGCCCCAUGUCAAGCUAGUUAACACAGAGAUGUUACAGGAUGUUCUCUUCCCAUUCCUUUGAACAUCCACUAACAUUUGGCCCUAGACUCACUCAGUUUAUCAUCCUUCUGAGGAGCUUUCUGGAAUUGAACCAAUUCAGGGAGAGGGAAAAAAAAUAUGAAAAUAAAAGGAGAAAGGAUAAGAAGAGGCA
rnacentral:lncRNA from 1 species